rnacentral:rRNA from 1 species
UACAGAGGUCCCGAGCGUUGUUCGGAUUUAUUGGGCGUAAAGGGUGCGUAGGCGGCGGAGUAAGUUGGGUGUGAAAUCCCGGGGCUCAACCUCGGAAUGGCAUUCAAUACUGCUUCGCUAGAGUACUGGAGAGGAGGCUGGAAUUUACGGUGUAGCAGUGAAAUGCGUAGAUAUCGUAAGGAAGGCCGGUGGCGAAAGCGGGUCUCUGGACAGUUCCUGACGCUGAGGCACGAAGGCCAGGGGAGCAAACGGG